GGAAGGGAUGUAUUUAUUAGAUUAAAAACCAAUGCCCUCUGGGCUCUUUGGUGAUUCAUGAUAACUUCUCGAAUCGCACGGCCUUGCGCCGGCGAUGGUUCAUUCAAAUUUCUUCCCUAUCAACUUUCGAUGUUUGGGUAUUGGCCAAACAUGGUUGCAACGGGUAACGGAGGGUUAGGGCUCGACCCCGGAGAAGGAGCCUGAGAAACGGCUACUACAUCCAAGGAAGGCAGCAGGCGCGCAAAUUACCCAAUCCCGACACGGGGAGGUAGUGACAAUAAAUACUGAUACAGGGCUCUUUUGGGUCUUGUAAUUGGAAUGAGUACAAUUUAAAUCCCUUAACGAGGAACAAUUGGAGGGCAAGUCUGGUGCCAGCAGCCGCGGUAAUUCCAGCUCCAAUAGCGUAUAUUAAAGUUGUUGUGGUUAAAAAGCUCGUAGUUGAACCUUGGGCCUGGCUGGCCGGUCCGCCUCACCGCGUGUACUGGUCCGGCCGGGCCUUUCCCUCUGUGGAACCUCAUGCCCUUCACUGGGUGUGACGGGGAACCAGGACUUUUAC
rnacentral:rRNA from 1 species